CCUACGGGAGGCAGCAGUAAGGAAUAUUGGUCAAUGGACGAAAGUCUGAACCAGCCAUGCCGCGUGAAGGAUUAAGGCCCUCUGGGUUGUAAACUUCUUUUAUCUGGGACGAAAAAAGGGUAUUCUUACUCACUUGACGGUACCAGAGGAAUAAGCACCGGCUAACUCCGUGCCAGCAGCCGCGGUAAUACGGAGGGUGCAAGCGUUAUCCGGAUUUACUGGGUUUAAAGGGUGCGUAGGUGGGCUUGUAAGUCAGUGGUGAAAUCUCCGGGCUUAACCCGGAAACUGCCAUUGAUACUAUAGGUCUUGAAUUAUCUGGAGGUAAGCGGAAUAUGUCAUGUAGCGGUGAAAUGCUUAGAUAUGACAUAGAACACCAAUUGCGAAGGCAGCUUACUACGGAUAUAUUGACACUGAGGCACGAAAGCGUGGGGAUCAAACAGGAUUAGAUACCCUGGUAGUCCACGCCCUAAACGAUGGAUACUCGACAUCAGCGAUACACUGUGUGUCUGNGNGAGNAUAUAUCCACCNGAGAGANCGCAGAUAGAACUACAAGAAGUAGAGCGNGAGAGNGACGAGACGACGACGAGGAGGAGG
rnacentral:rRNA from 1 species